GACGAACGCUGGCGGCGUGCCUAAUACAUGCCAGUAGAACGCUGAAGGAGGAGCUUGCUUCUCUGGAUGAGUUGCGAACGGGUGAGUAACGCGUAGGUAACCUGCCUGGUAGCGGGGGAUAACUAUUGGAAACGAUAGCUAAUACCGCAUAAGAGUAGAUGUUGCAUGACAUUUGCUUAAAAGGUGCAAUUGCAUCACUACUAGAUGGACCUGCGUUGUAUUAGCUAGUUGGUGGGGUAACGGCUCACCAAGGCGACGAUACAUAGCCGACCUGAGAGGGUGAUCGGCCACACUGGGACUGAGACACGGCCCAGACUCCUACGGGAGGCAGCAGUAGGGAAUCUUCGGCAAUGGACGGAAGUCUGACCGAGCAACGCCGCGUGAGUGAAGAAGGUUUUCGGAUCGUAAAGCUCUGUUGUAAGAGAAGAACGAGGGUGAGAGUGGAAAGUUCACACUGUGACGGUAUCUUACCAGAAAGGGACGGCUAACUACGUG
rnacentral:rRNA from 1 species